GUAAUCCGGGUUGCGGACAGUGUCUGGUGGGUAGUUUGACUGGGGCGGUCUCCUCCUAAAGAGUAACGGAGGAGCACGAAGGUUGGCUAAUCCUGGUCGGACAUCAGGAGGUUAGUGCAAUGGCAUAAGCCAGCUUGACUGCGAGCGUGACGGCGCGAGCAGGUGCGAAAGCAGGUCAUAGUGAUCCGGUGGUUCUGAAUGGAAGGGCCAUCGCUCAACGGAUAAAAGGUACUCCGGGGAUAACAGGCUGAUACCGCCCAAGAGUUCAUAUCGACGGCGGUGUUUGGCACCUCGAUGUCGGCUCAUCACAUCCUGGGGCUGAAGUAGGUCCCAAGGGUAUGGCUGUUCGCCAUUUAAAGUGGUACGCGAGCUGGGUUUAGAACGUCGUGAGACAGUUCGGUCCCUAUCUGCCGUGGGCGCUGGAGAACUGAGGGGGGCUGCUCCUAGUACGAGAGGACCGGAGUGGACGCAUCACUGGUGUUCGGGUUGUCAUGCCAAUGGCACUGCCCGGUAGCUAAAUGCGGAAGAGAUAAGUGCUGAAAGCAUCUAAGCACGAAACUUGCC
rnacentral:rRNA from 1 species